GUGCUCACUUUGGCAGCACAUAUACUAAAACUGGAAUGAUACAGAGAAGAUUAUCAUGGCCCCUGACUGAGAAUUACAUGCAAAUUCUUGAAGUGCUCCAUAUUUUU